ACACAUGCAAGUCGAGCGAUGAAGUUUCCUUCGGGAAACGGAUUAGCGGCGGACGGGUGAGUAACACGUGGGUAACCUGCCUCAUAGAGUGGAAUAGCCUUCCGAACGGAAGAUUAAUACCGCAUAAUGUUGAAAGAUGGCAUCAUCAUUCAACCAAAGGAGCAAUCCGCUAUGAGAUGGACCCGCGGCGCAUUAGCUAGUUGGUGGGGUAACGGCCUACCAAGGCGACGAUGCGUAGCCGACCUGAGAGGGUGAUCGGCCACAUUGGGACUGAGACACGGCCCAGACUCCUACGGGAGGCAGCAGUGGGGAAUAUUGCACAAUGGGGGAAACCCUGAUGCAGCAACGCCGCGUGAGUGAUGAAGGUUUUCGGAUCGUAAAGCUCUGUCUUUGGGGAAGAUAAUGACGGUACCCAAGGAGGAAGCCACGGCUAACUACGUGCCAGCAGCCGCGGUAAUACGUAGGUGGCGAGCGUUAUCCGGAUUUACUGGGCGUAAAGGGAGCGUAGGCGGAUGAUUAAGUGGGAUGUGAAAUACCCGGGCUCAACUUGGGUGCUGCAUUCCAAACUGGUUAUCUAGAGUGCAGGAGAGGAGAGUGGAAUUCCUAGUGUAGCGGUGAAAUGCGUAGAGAUUAGGAAGAACACCAGUGGCGAAGGCGACUCUCUGGACUGUAACUGACGCUGAGGCUCGAAAGCGUGGGGAGCAAACAGGAUUAGAUACCCUGGCAGUCCACGCCGUAAACGAUGAAUACUAGGUGUGGGGGUUUCAACACCUCCGUGCCGCCGCUAACGCAUUAAGUAUUCCGCCUGGGGAGUACGGUCGCAAGAUUAAAACUCAAAGGAAUUGACGGGGACCCGCACAAGUAGCGGAGCAUGUGGUUUAAUUCGAAGCAACGCGAAGAACCUUACCUACACUUGACAUCCCUUGCAUUACUCUUAAUCGAGGAAAUCCCUUCGGGGACAAGGUGACAGGUGGUGCAUGGUUGUCGUCAGCUCGUGUCGUGAGAUGUUGGGUUAAGUCCCGCAACGAGCGCAACCCUUGUCGUUAGUUACUACCAUUAAGUUGAGGACUCUAGCGAGACUGCCUGGGUUAACCAGGAGGAAGGUGGGGAUGACGUCAAAUCAUCAUGCCCCUUAUGUGUAGGGCUACACACGUGCUACAAUGGCUGGUACAGAGAGAUGCAAUACCGCGAGGUGGAGCCAAACUUAAAAACCAGUCUCAGUUCGGAUUGUAGGCUGAAACUCGCCUACAUGAAGCUGGAGUUACUAGUAAUCGCGAAUCAGAAUGUCGCGGUGAAUACGUUCCCGGGUCUUGUACACACCGCCCGUCACACCAUGAGAGUUGGCAAUACCCGAAGUCCGUGAGCUAACCGCAAGGAGGCAGCGGCCGAAGGUAGGGUCAGCGAUUGGGGU
rnacentral:rRNA from 1 species